rnacentral:lncRNA from 1 species
UUUGUAAAAAAGAUUGGGACCAAGCUGCGAAAAGACAACAAGGACUUCAAGAAGAUGACUCGGACGAGGAAGAAGAUCCUUGGAUGUUGAUGGAUACUUCGUCGUCCGAAGGCGGCAAUUCGGCAAAUGAACAAGAAUAAAUAAAAAAUUUCUUUCGUUAUGUAUUUUUUUAUUUAGUUUGUACAAGCGGUUUGUUCCGUUAAAUUUUUUAGAGAGGAGUC